UAGUUUCGUACCACAAAAUGUGGCACUCUUCAGAUAAUUUAUCUGAAGAGUGCCACAUUUCGUGGUACGAAACUA